UGAGGAUGUAGAUCAGUGGUAGAGACCUUGCCUGGCAUAUAUGAGGCCCUGGGUUCAAUACCCAGAACCACAG
rnacentral:tRNA from 1 species